GAUAAAGCGGGUGAAAAGCCCGCUCGCCGGAAGACCAAGGGUUCCUGUCCAACGUUAAUCGGGGCAGGGUGAGUCGACCCCUAAGGCGAGGCCGAAAGGCGUAGUCGAUGGGAAACGGGUUAAUAUUCCCGUACUUGGUGUUACUGCGAAGGGGGGACGGAGAAGGCUAUGUUGGCCGGGCGACGGUUGUCCCGGUUUAAGCGUGUAGGUGUGUGUUCCAGGUAAAUCCGGUUCACUUUAACACUGAGGCGUGACGACGAGGCACUACGGUGCUGAAGCAACAAAUGCCCUGCUUCCAGGAAAAGCCUCUAAGCAUCAGGUAACAUCAAAUCGUACCCCAAACCGACACAGGUGGUCAGGUAGAGAAUACCAAGGCGCUUGAGAGAACUCGGGUGAAGGAACUAGGCAAAAUGGUGCCGUAACUUCGGGAGAAGGCACGCUGACACGUAGGUGAAGUGAUUUACUCAUGGAGCUGAAGUCAGUCGAAGAUACCAGCUGGCUGCAACUGUUUAUUAAAAACACAGCACUGUGCAAACACGAAAGUGGACGUAUACGGUGUGACGCCUGCCCGGUGCCGGAAGGUUAAUUGAUGGGGUCAGCGCAAGCGAAGCUCCUGAUCGAAGCCCCGGUAAACGGCGGCCGUAACUAUAACGGUCCUAAGGUAGCGAAAUUCCUUGUCGGGUAAGUUCCGACCUGCACGAAUGGCGUAAUGAUGGCCAGGCUGUCUCCACCCGAGACUCAGUGAAAUUGAACUCGCUGUGAAGAUGCAGUGUACCCGCGGCAAGACGGAAAGACCCCGUGAACCUUUACUAUAGCUUGACACUGAACAUUGAGCCUUGAUGUGUAGGAUAGGUGGGAGGCUUUGAAGUGUGGACGCCAGUCUGCAUGGAGCCGACCUUGAAAUACCACCCUUUAAUGUUUGAUGUUCUAACGUGGACCCGUUACCCGGGUUGCGGACAGUGUCUGGUGGGUAGUUUGACUGGGGCGGUCUCCUCCUAAAGAGUAACGGAGGAGCACGAAGGUUGGCUAAUCCUGGUCGGACAUCAGGAGGUUAGUGCAAUGGCAUAAGCCAGCUUGACUGCGAGCGUGACGGCGCGAGCAGGUGCGAAAGCAGGUCAUAGUGAUCCGGUGGUUCUGAAUGGAAGGGCCAUCGCUCAACGGAUAAAAGGUACUCCGGGGAUAACAGGCUGAUACCGCCCAAGAGUUCAUAUCGACGGCGGUGUUUGGCACCUCGAUGUCGGCUCAUCACAUCCUGGGGCUGAAGUAGGUCCCAAGGGUAUGGCUGUUCGCCAUUUAAAGUGGUACGCGAGCUGGGUUUAGAACGUCGUGAGACAGUUCGGUCCCUAUCUGCCGUGGGCGCUGGAGAACUGAGGGGGGCUGCUCCUAGUACGAGAGGACCGGAGUGGACGCAUCACUGGUGUUCGGGUUGUCAUGCCAAUGGCACUGCCCGGUAGCUAAAUGCGGAAGAGAUAAGUGCUGAAAGCAUCUAAGCACGAAACUUGCCCCGAGAUGAGUUCUCCCUGAGACUUAGAGUCUCCUGAAGGAACGUUGAAGACGACGACGUUGAUAGGCCGGGUGUGUAAGCGCAGCGAUGCGUUGAGCUAACCGGUACUAAUGAACCGUGAGG
rnacentral:rRNA from 1 species